UGGGGUCUAGCUCAGUUGGUAGAGUGCUUGUCUUGCAAGCACAAGGCCCUGGGUUCAAUCCCCAGCACCAA
rnacentral:tRNA from 1 species